rnacentral:rRNA from 1 species
GACGAACGCUGGCGGCGUGCUUAACACAUGCAAGUCGAACGGUGAAGGGACCGGUUUUUGCUGGUUCUGGAUGAGUGGCGAACGGGUGAGUAACACGUGAGUAACCUGCCCCCUUCUUCUGGAUAACCGCAUGAAAGUGUGGCUAAUACGGGAUAUUCUGCGCCUGCUGCAUGGUGGGUGUGGGAAAGAUAUUGUUUCGGUGGGGGAUGGGCUCGCGGCCUAUCAGCUUGUUGGGGGGGUGAUGGCCUACCAAGGCGGUGACGGGUAGCCGGCCUGAGAGGGUGGACGGUCACACUGGGACUGAGACACGGCCCAGACUCCUACGGGAGGCAGCAGUGGGGAAUAUUGCACAAUGGGCGCAAGGCUGAUGCAGCGACGCCGCGUGAGGGAUGGAGGCCUUCGGGUUGUAAACCUCUUUCGCCAGUGAAGCAGGCCUGUCCCUUUUGUGGGUGGGUUGACGGUAGCUGGAGAAGAAGCGCCGGCUAACUACGUG